CCUACGGGUGGCAGCAGUCGAGGAUCUUCGGCAAUGGGCGCAAGCCUGACCGAGCGACGCCGCGUGCGGGAUGAAGGCCUUCGGGUUGUAAACCGCUGUCAGGGGGGAUGAAAUCAUGGUGGGUACUCCCAUCAUGUUGACAGAGCCCCAGAGGAAGCGCGGGCUAAGUUCGUGCCAGCAGCCGCGGUAAUACGAACUGCGCGAACGCUAUUCGGAAUCAGUGGGUAGACGGCAUGCGAAGGAGGGUGUGAAAUGCCUUGGCUCAACCAAGGCACAGCGCUCUAAACUACUUUGCUUGAGUGAGUCAGGGGUGCACGGAACUUCCGGUGGAGCGGUGAAAUGUGUUGAUAUCGGAAGGAACACCGGCGGCGAAAGCGGUGCACUGGGGCUUAACUGACACUGAGGCACGAAAGCCAGGGGAGCGAACGGGAUUAGAUACCCCUGUAGUC
rnacentral:rRNA from 1 species